rnacentral:rRNA from 1 species
GAUGAACGCUGGCGGCGUGCCUAAUACAUGCAAGUCGAGCGAACAGACGAGGAGCUUGCUCCUCUGACGUUAGCGGCGGACGGGUGAGUAACACGUGGAUAACCUACCUAUAAGACUGGGAUAACUUCGGGAAACCGGAGCUAAUACCGGAUAAUAUAUUGAACCGCAUGGUUCAAUAGUGAAAGACGGUUUUGCUGUCACUUAUAGAUGGAUCCGCGCCGCAUUAGCUAGUUGGUAAGGUAACGGCUUACCAAGGCGACGAUGCGUAGCCGAACUGAGAGGGUGAUCGGCCACACUGGAACUGAGACACGGUCCAGACUCCUACGGGAGGCAGCAGUAGGGAAUCUUCCGCAAUGGGCGAAAGCCUGACGGAGCAACGCCGCGUGAGUGAUGAAGGUCUUCGGAUCGUAAAACUCUGUUAUUAGGGAAGAACAAAUGUGUAACUAUGCACGUCUUGACGGUACCUAAUCAGAAAGCCACGGCUAACUACGUG